GGCUACUGCCAUACACCCUGAAUGUGCCUCAUCUUAUCUGAUCUUGGAAGCCAGGCAGGGUCAGUCUUGAUUAAUACUUUGAUAGGAGAGUGUACCUAGCAUGGAUUCU
rnacentral:rRNA from 1 species